rnacentral:lncRNA from 1 species
UUUAACUAUGAAUCCAACCAAUUAACAAUAUUUUCAUCUGCUAAAACAAAUGGAUCAUAUUGACAUGACUUCAAAACAUUCUUGUUUCUUCCCAUUCCUUUACCGGUAUCCAAUAACAAACCAAAACUUUUAAUUUUUGUAUCAAUGUCCUUGUUUUUCAAGGUACGCUUAUUCUCUUUUGCUGGAGUUACACUUAAAACUCUGACUGAAGAAUCAGAUUCUACUUUAUUACAAGUAGUCUUGAACUCCUUUUCCUUUCUUGUAAGAAAAAUAACUUUAUCAAACUAUAUUCAUAAAAUUAAAAGUUAAUAACAAACAUAAAUAUUUUUACCUUGUUUGCAUUUGGGAUAUAUCAGAAUUAA